AGCAGCCGCGGUAAUUCCAGCUCCAAUAGCGUAUAUUAAAGUUGUUGCAGUUAAAAAGCUCGUAGUUGAAUUUCGGGGUUAGUAGGUUGGUCAUGCCUCUGGUAUGUACUGAUCUCACUGAUUCCUCCCUCUUGACGAACUGUAAUGUUAUUAAUUUGGUGUUGCAGGAAAUCAGGACUGUUACUUUGAAAAAAUUAGAGUGUUUAAAGCAGGCUUAGGCUUGAAUACAUUAGCAUGGAAUAAUGAAAUAGGACGUUUGAUCCUAUUUUGUUGGCUUCUAGGAUCGACGUAAUGAUUAAUAGGGAUAGUUGGGGGCAUUAGUAUUCAAUUGUCAGAGGUGAAAUUCUUGGAUUUUAUUGAAGACUAACUACUGCGAAAGCAUUUGCCAAGGAUGUUUUCAUUAAUCAAGAACGAAAGUUAGGGGAUCGAAGACGAUCAGAUACCGUCGUAGUCUUAACCAUAAACUAUGCCGACUAGGGAUCGGAUGGAUGUUAAUUUUUUAAUGUACUCAUUCGGCGUC
rnacentral:rRNA from 1 species